rfam:Triticum aestivum genome assembly, contig: Triticum_aestivum_CS42_TGACv1_scaffold_020376_1AS
UUAAUACUCCCUCCGUCGGGAAAUACUUGUCCUAGAAAUGGAUGUAUCUAGACUUAUUUUAGUUAUAGAUACAUCCAACUUAUCCAUUCUUAGAACAAAAAUUUCCCGCAAGCCGGAGAGGGAGUACCUA